GGGCACAUGGUGUAGUUGGUUAUCACGCUCGCUUAGCAUACUCGUCAUUAUUCAUUUCGCAAAUGCGAGAGGUGUUGGGUUCAAUUCCCAAUGCGUCCA